rnacentral:rRNA from 1 species
AUGAACGCUAGCGGGAGGCCUAACACAUGCAAGCCGAGCGGUAGAGUUUCUUCGGAAACUUGAGAGCGGCGCACGGGUGCGUAACACGUGUGCAACCUACCUUUAUCUGGGGGAUAGCCUUUCGAAAGGAAGAUUAAUACCCCAUAAUAUAAUGAUUGGCAUCAAUUAUUAUUGAAAACUCCGGUGGAUAGAGAUGGGCACGCGCAAGAUUAGAUAGUUGGUGAGGUAACGGCUCACCAAGUCAAUGAUCUUUAGGGGUCCUGAGAGGGAGAUCCCCCACACUGGUACUGAGACACGGACCAGACUCCUACGGGAGGCAGCAGUGAGGAAUAUUGGACAAUGGGUGAGAGCCUGAUCCAGCCAUCCCGCGUGAAGGAUGACGGUCCUAUGGAUUGUAAACUUCUUUUGUACAGGGAUAAACCUACCCUCGUGAGGGUAGCUGAAGGUACUGUACGAAUAAGCACCGGCUAACUCCGUG